ACGAACGCUGGCGGCGUGCUUAACACAUGCAAGUCGAACGGAAAGGCCCUGCUUUUGUGGGGUGCUCGAGUGGCGAACGGGUGAGUAACACGUGAGUAACCUGCCCUUGACUUUGGGAUAACUUCAGGAAACUGGGGCUAAUACCGGAUAGGAGCUCCUGCUGCAUGGUGGGGGUUGGAAAGUUUCGGCGGUUGGGGAUGGACUCGCGGCUUAUCAGCUUGUUGGUGGGGUAGUGGCUUACCAAGGCUUUGACGGGUAGCCGGCCUGAGAGGGUGACCGGCCACAUUGGGACUGAGAUACGGCCCAGACUCCUACGGGAGGCACCAGUGGGGAAUAUUGCACAAUGGGCGGAAGCCUGAUGCAGCAACGCCGCGUGCGGGAUGACGGCCUUCGGGUUGUAAACCGCUUUCGCCUGUGACGAAGCGUGAGUGACGGUAAUGGGUAAAGAAGCACCGGCUAACUACGUG
rnacentral:rRNA from 1 species